GGGUCUGUAGCUCAGUCGGUUAGAGCACCGUCUUGAUAAGGCGGGGGUCGUCGGUUCGAAUCCAACCAGACCCA
rnacentral:tRNA from 2 species